CGAACGAUGAUCCGGUGCUUGCACCGGGGAUUAGUGGCGAACGGGUGAGUAACACGUGAGUAACCUGCCCUUGACUCUGGGAUAAGCCUGGGAAACCGGGUCUAAUACCGGAUAUGACUGCCGGCCGCAUGGCCUGGUGGUGGAAAGCUUUAUUGCGGUUUUGGAUGGACUCGCGGCCUAUCAGCUUGUUGGCGGGGUAAUGGCCCACCAAGGCGACGACGGGUAGCCGGCCUGAGAGGGUGACCGGCCACACUGGGACUGAGACACGGCCCAGACUCCUACGGGAGGCAGCAGUGGGGAAUAUUGCACAAUGGGCGCAAGCCUGAUGCAGCGACGCCGCGUGAGGGAUGAAGGCCUUCGGGUUGUAAACCUCUUUCAGUAGGGAAGAAGCGAAAGUGACGGUACCUGCAGAAGAAGCGCCGGCUAACUACGUGCCAGCAGCCGCGGUAAUACGUAGGGCGCAAGCGUUAUCCGGAAUUAUUGGGCGUAAAGAGCUCGUAGGCGGUUUGUCGCGUCUGCCGUGAAAGUCCGGGGCUUAACUCCGGAUCUGCGGUGGGUACGGGCAGACUAGAGUGCAGUAGGGGAGACUGGAAUUCCUGGUGUAGCGGUGAAAUGCGCAGAUAUCAGGAGGAACACCGAUGGCGAAGGCAGGUCUCUGGGCUGUAACUGACGCUGAGGAGCGAAAGCAUGGGGAGCGAACAGGAUUAGAUACCCUGGUAGUCCAUGCCGUAAACGUUGGGCACUAGGUGUGGGGGACAUUCCACGUUUUCCGCGCCGUAGCUAACGCAUUAAGUGCCCCGC
rnacentral:rRNA from 1 species